AGCUUUGUGGGUGGAGUCUGACUUCUGGAGCAGGUAAGCUAGUAGCCACACAGGCCAUCAGCCUCUCUGCCCACCUAUUUGCACCUCCUCCCAGCAAGAGGCUUUAUCUGGGAUUUGACUUAUGCAAAAUGGAAUGAACAAAGGAGGGGAAAUUUGCCUCUCCUCCUGAUAUUCUUGUAUUUCAGAGCUUGACAGCCUUUGCUAGAAAUGGAGCAUGGAUUCUGGAUUAAUGUCUACUUUAUUUAUGUGGUUGAAUGUAUAUUUUUCCAGUUGCUCAUUGAAGAAAACGUAAUCAUUUUGGUGCAGAUUCCAAGUGAUGUCCCCAGUCAUCUUCUGUAGUCUUCCUGCUGUGAUUGGCCCAUCUAAAUAAAAUAGUUAACCUACAUUUAAAUACAAUUUUGCUUUGACUCCCAGUCUAUAUCUAAAGUAAGGAGGGACAUUUUGAGCACUAGACAAUUGCAGGCUGCCAGAGGUCAUUUCAUUUUCUCCUGCUUGUGUGCUAGUGAUACCUUUACCUCUGGUGUAUAAAAAAGAAAUGUCUUUGUGGUAUUUCCAGGAAGGCCCAUGGAAGCUCUUUUUGCUUAAAUCGAGCAAUGCUCCAGAGCUCAUCAAAAUGAAGAGGGCAAUGGGAAGUCUGGAUCCUGGCUCUGAACUCUUCCAGAUCAACGUGUCUCCACCUGGGCAGUUCCAAAUACAUACAGAGGCACAUUGGAAACGCAGUAGAAAAUGGCUGCAGAUUUAAAACCAGAAGUUAAGAAGAGCGAACUCGAAUGUAUAGCAAGAGAGCUUCAGGCUGGACUGGCUUCCAGCAGAAGUGGGACUGGAAACCUUGGAUUCUGUUGCCUCUUCUCUGUGACGUGGGAAAACAUGUCAGUAUCUGAACUUGAACUUGACCUGGAAAAACUGCAAACCUCAGGCAGUUCGUGUUACUUUCUUGGAAGCAAAGCAAGCAUGGCUGGCUUGGGUUCAAGAGAAAGGAGGGAAAUUGAUCCGUCUUUCCUACCCUCCAAGAGAAAAAGGAGAUCAGUUCAGCUUAGGCAAAAUCCCCUGUCAGGCAGGGACCAACAACUUAGGAAGAGUUUCUACACUGUCCAGGUCAGUGGUGCCACCCUUUGUCUCUGA
rnacentral:lncRNA from 10 species